GGUGGGCGGGACACGGGGGCUCCCGCGGUCUUGCGCGCCCCGCUCGGGCUGGGAGCGGGAGGCAUCUCGCCCGUUCCCAGCCGCCCUUCAGGGCCGGACAGAGUCCUGCGGCCGCCGCUCCAGCUCCCUCCUAUCUCUAGUCCCAGGCGUAGGCCGGCUGGCACAGCGGCAAACGCCUCCAGCCAGGGCUCAGCCCGCCCUGGGCAGGGAGGACUCCCCGGGACACCGCGCUCCGGGGGCGGUCGGGGGAGAGAAGGGGGAGCCGGGCCGGCGGUGCGGGAGCGGUGCGGGAGCAUUGCCUCGGGCUGAGCGACGGCUCUAACCCGAGAUCACAGCCUUGGCUCUGCAGUGUCAGCAGAGUGAAGAGUUGGCAAAGCACUGAAGGAGACCAAAGAAAGGGAUAUGGAGGGUCAGGAACUGCCUUAUGUGCUAGUUGACUGUAUAGGAGAGAGGUAUGGAGUAUAUGAAGACCAUGUUGGAUUUCUGAAGAAACGUUUUCAUCUCAUCACCAUGAAAGAAUAUCUUGAAAACAAGACAUUUCUCAGCAAAAAGAUCAGAGCUAUCUAUAUGUGGUAUCACAAACCAGCUAUUGAUGAAGAGCUUCUCCAGAGCUUGCCUAACUUGAAGGUAGUUGCAAGUUCUGGAGUGGGAAUAGAUCACUUGGACCUGAAACUCCUCUCCAGCUAUGGUGUGAAGGUGGCCAAUACUCCGUUUAUUGUUUCCACUGACACUGCAGACUUAGGGAUGGCUUUGAUGCUGGCAUCUUCCAGGAGACUUGUGGAAGGCCAUGAGAUGGCAGUCUCCCCCGACACAGAGUAUUUCCCUGCUGACUGGCUGGGGGUUGAGGUUUCUGGAGCGACCCUGGGGAUCGUGGGAAUGGGCACCAUUGGUUACAAAGUGGCUGAAAGAGCCAAAGCCUUUGAAAUGAAGAUUUUGUACCACAACAGAAAUCAGAGAAAAAAGGAAGAAGAAAGUGCCAUUGGAGCUGUUUACUGUAAGAAGAUAGAUGAUUUGCUCCAGCAGUCAGAUUUCGUGUUGCUGGCUGUGAACCUAACUCCACAGACACGCAAACUGAUUGGGAAGAGGGAGCUGGAGCUGAUGAAACCCACUGCUAUUCUUAUUAAUAUCAGCAGAGGUCUGGUAGUGGAUCAGGAUGCUUUGGUGGAAGCCCUUCAAAACAAAGUUAUUAGGGCAGCCGCUCUGGAUGUGACAUAUCCUGAACCCUUGCCAAGGGAUCACCCCUUUUUAAAACUGAAGAAUGUUAUCAUAACUCCUCACAUCGGAAGUGCUACCAAGAAGACACGCUGGGUUAUGAUGGAGGAAAUGGCAGAAAGCAUAGAGGCGGGCUUGGCGGGUCUUCCUAUCCCUCGUGAGGUGCUGCUCUAGAGCACCUUGCACUUAGGACUAAUGCCUGUUAUAAAUGUAUUGUGAUGUUGGCUUUUUUUUCAUUUUAAAUAAUU